ACGAACGCUGGCGGCGUGCUUAACACAUGCAAGUCGAACGGAAAGGCCCUGCUUUUGUGGGGUGCUCGAGUGGCGAACGGGUGAGUAACACGUGAGUAACCUGCCCUUGACUUUGGGAUAACUUCAGGAAACUGGGGCUAAUACCGGAUAGGAGCUCCUGCUGCAUGGUGGGGGUUGGAAAGUUUCGGCGGUUGGGGAUGGACUCGCGGCUUAUCAGCUUGUUGGUGGGGUAGUGGCUUACCAAGGCUUUGACGGGUAGCCGGCCUGAGAGGGUGACCGGCCACAAUGGGACUGAGAUACGGACCAGACUCCUACGGGAGGCAGCAGUGGGGAAUAUUGCACAAUGGGCGGAAGCCUGAUGCAGCAACGCCGCGUGCGGGAUGACGGCCUUCGGGUUGUAAACCGCUUUCGCCUGUGACGAAGCGUGAGUGACGGUAAUGAGUAAAGAAGCACCGGCUAACUACGUG
rnacentral:rRNA from 1 species